rnacentral:rRNA from 1 species
CCUACGGGGGGCUGCAGUGGGGAAUAUUGGACAAUGGGGGGAACCCUGAUCCAGCCAUGCCGCGUGUGUGAAGAAGGCCCUCGGGUUGUAAAGCACUUUCAGUGAGGAAGAACGCCUGGUGGUUAAUACCCAUCAGGAAAGACAUCACUCACAGAAGAAGCACCGGCUAACUCCGUGCCAGCAGCCGCGGUAAUACGGAGGGUACGAGCGUUAAUCGGAAUUACUGGGCGUAAAGCGCGCGUAGGUGGCUUGAUAAGCCGGUUGUGAAAGCCCCGGGCUCAACCUGGGAACGGCAUCCGGAACUGUCAAGCUAGAGUGCAGGAGAGGAAGGUAGAAUUCCCGGUGUAGCGGUGAAAUGCGUAGAGAUCGGGAGGAAUACCAGUGGCGAAGGCGGCCUUCUGGACUGACACUGACACUGAGGUGCGAAAGCGUGGGUAGCAAACAGGAUUAGAUACCCGAGUAGUC